rnacentral:tRNA from 1 species
UCCCUGGUGGCUUAGACGGUAAAGCGUCUGUCUGCGAGGCAGGAGACCUGGGUUCGAUCCCUGGGUUGGGAA